UACGGAGGGUGCAAGCGUUACCCGGAUUUACUGGGUGUAAAGGGCGUGUAGGCGGCUUUUCAAGUCCGAUGCUAAAGACUGAGGCUCAACCUCAGGAGUGCGUUGGAUACUGUGAGGCUAGACGGUCGGAGAGGGUAGCGGAAUUCUCGGAGUAGCGGUGAAAUGCGCAGAUACCGAGAGGAACGCCAAUAGCGAAAGCAGCUACCUGGACGAUUAGUGACGCUGAGGCGCGAAAGCGUGGGGAGCAAACCGGAUUAGAUACCCGGGUAGUCCACGCCCUAAACGAUGAGUGCUGGGUGUCCGGCGUAUGCUGGGUGCCGUAGCUAACGCGUUAAGCACUCCACCUGGGAAGUACGGUCGCAAGACUGAA
rnacentral:rRNA from 1 species